AUUAUUUUAGUCUAGAACCUGAAAUAUAAUUGCUGAUAGAAAUGUUCCGCUCCUCAGAUGAAUGCCUUCUGGAAUUAUGCACGUGAGCUGAAGCAUUUACAUUUGAAAGCAUUUUGUGUCGAACUGCCAAAUAGUUUCCUCAAAAAUACUUGGUGUAUGGACUGAAAGACUGAAAGCAUAGGCAAUGCUUUUCUUCAUGAAAAUAUUUUUUUCGUAAUUGACUACGAUGAAUUUUUAGCAUAUUUUCAGAUAAUAAUUUAGUGGAACACUGUGAAACUAAUCUAAGAUGCACUGUCAGGAGAGGAAGCUGGUUUUGCUCCAGACUGUCUUUCUCCCCCACCCCUUCCUCCGAGUGGAUUUUUAUCUUCCAGAAAGGGAUGUAAGGUGUUUCUGGUAAAUGAAGGUCAUGUUCUCAGGCUCCCAGCUCUCCUGAGCGAAACCAUGGCUUUCACCAGGUGGUGCUAGGGCAGGGAGUGCAGGAGAGAUGUCUGCUAGGCCCGUGAGCACAAUGCAGGGCUGCACAGAGCUCUGCUACGUGGAGGGGAGAGGGCAGCGUGCAUGGAACGAGCACAGCCCACGGUGUUUUACACACAGAUGGAUUGUGAUGUGUGGAGAUGCUAAAUUGGAUGCGUGGCGUUCUUAUCCAGGCUAAACUUUUUGAAAUGAAUUGGAAUCUUGCCCGGGUGAAGACUGCAAGGUUUGGAUCAGGCUAAGGGAGGUUUUAUUGUGGGCGAAUGGGAGCAGAAAAGAAGGAGGUGGAGUGAAGGACGGGGAAGAGAAUGGAACAGGAGUUCACGCUUUCAGAUGUAGGUGCAGCCCUGAGUUGUUGCCUUCAUCGAAGCUAGGCGGGUAACAUCAGGCUGGCUUCUGUUUUGUAUGGGUGCAUUGGUACAGUACUGCCUUUCCCCCACAUCUGCCAAGUAUUCAUGGUCGCUUUGUAACUACGAAGGAGAAAUACAGAGGAGGAAUGGAAGGAAGGCCGUGUUGCAUCCCGGUUUCUCCUGGAGAUUUUCUGGGGGAUGCGUGUAUAAUUCACAUCCCCAAAGCAUCCUGGCAGCCCCUUGCAGGCAGGUGGGCUCCCUGCGGCCAGGCCCAGCUCCACACGAGGCGCGCUCCUGGCAGACCGGGGCCUUCACCUGCCUCCGGCUUGUGGCCUCCUCACAUGGCGCUGCAGUGCAGGCAGGCCUGUUGUCGUGAUGCCUUCCUUCCAGAACAUGGAAAUGCGCACUAAUUAGGCAUUUUGCCUGCUAACUGCAUCAGUUGCUCUCAGCUUGAAACAGGUGCAGGUAAUCAGCACUCCCUCCUUCUCCCCCUGCAGUGGUGGUGGUGGUGGGGGACUCGCAUCUAUAACAAAGCGAUCCUGUGAUGCAGAUUUAGUUUUGAUUUAUACGGCCUCUACCGGAUUGAAAAUACAGUGAAUUUAGGAAUAUGAUGAUUGCAUGUCUUUGUUUCUUAAGACAUACUGUAAAACACGCUUCUUCACAGCCAUGUGUGUGUUCAUAUAGCGUGUGUUGUCUCACAAUGCAUUUGGUUUUUGCAAGGAUACAUAUUCAUGUAUUCAGCAUGCAUGCAGCUAGCUAGACUUAUGAUUGCAACCAGAAGACAGAAAGUUGAAAUGGCUGUAGCCAGCACAAUAGGCGUUCACGAGGAGAGUGAUCCCAGUAGAUAUAAAAUGGCGGGGCAGAUUUUUUCAAGCGCAUGUGCACUUCUGCAAGUCCUUAGUUUAUACUGCUGUAAACUGUACUGACUGUGUAAAUCUGCACUUGUUGUGCAUUUAACUCUGUGCCCGGGCCGCAACAGAGAGAAUGUGGUUAAGUUUGAUGGGUUUCUAGAUCCAUCUCUCUCUACCCAGAUAUUCAUUAAUGUGUUAUGUCUGUACGUUCCGUGGAAGUCACUACUGAAUCUUGCCUUUGACUUCACACAAGCAAGCAAACCGCGUUGUGAUUUUUCCUAAGAAUGCUGCAAAAAUUUUUCCACAGCUCUCCCUGCACUUCCACGGAAUGUUUUUAAAUCUCCUGGUGAUCCUAAGUAUUGUCAGGUUUUCAUGAAAGUCUGCGCUGGGGUCUUCAAAAUCGGACAUAAUUCUGUUUAUGAUGCAUGUUUUGUAGGUGUAUAUGCAGGAUAAAAUGCCCAGGAUCAGCCACUUUGCAGCCUGGCUUUUAAAAAUAUAUACCAUCAAAUGUAAGCUCUCAUCAUUUUGAGUCGCCCUUUGUAAAAACAGCCUUGUUUUAACAGAAGAUUAGUGUUACCAGUUGUUCAGUGGUUGCAUGCUCUUCUCUCCUGCGUGCAUUUGAAAUGUGCUGUGCCGUACCUCUAGAAACAAAAGGUCUGAUCCAGAGGCCUCUGACAGCAGUGGGGUUUUUCCAUUUACUUCAAAUGGGAUUUGGUUUAAGCCUAUAUACGUAAUAGUUUGCAAUAAAGACUUGACUAUUGCAGUGGUUUUCUGGAUCUUCCACGGAACUUUUUCAAAACUCUUGUAACUAUUGUCCAGCAGCAGUACUCCAAAAUGCAAAUAGAAGUGCUGAUCGUGAUUAUUUUUUUUUGUCUUUUUAUAAAAAGGAGACAGAGCAGGGGGACAGGGGGCGUCCAAAGAGCUUCUUCUCACUGGGAACAACAAAUGAGUGUUGUAUGAAUGAAAAAUGUCUCAGCCUGGAUGUAGCCCAGAUUUGUGAAAUGCACAGCAGUAGAAUUUGAGUUUUCAAGUGAAAUAACUCUUCCUUGUCUGAACCGUCCUUCAAAAUGCGGGAUUAGAAGUUUCCUACCACAUCAUCUUCAGGACUCCCAGAAAAUUCUUCUGCAGCUUGUGCCUGGGGUGAAACUAAGUGUUCAAAGCCUGAAAGAAGGGUCUUGAAGGGAUCCUCAUUUCUCUCCUGAUGGAAAGUAAAAGUAAGCUAAAUCAGAGGUUCUAUUUAAGGUCCUUAAUGAUGAGAAGACAGUUAUAGACUGAGGAAUAGUUUUAUCCUUUAUAUGUGUGUGUGUGUAUAUAUAAAAAAUUAACUAACAUGUUCUGACCUGGGUUGUCGUGGGUAUUAGGAAACAUUUCAUUAAAGACUGUGAUCUAGGGUUUAGAAAUGACUAGUAAUUCUGAAAACACCAGUGUUGGAGAACUGAACUUAAGACAUAGCCAACAUGCCUUCCUAAGGUUUCAAACCAUUCAGCCUUUCCUAGAAGUCUCACUGAUAAGUUGGAGUACAAGAGUCCAAACUCAUCACCUAGCUUUUUGCCUACUUUCAUUUUUAUAAGAAAAUGCCAUAAAUACAUACUUGUUCAUUAACAUGAAGAGAUGUCAUGUGUAUUUAUUUCCUACACUAAAAAAAAAAAAGUCUGCUUAGAUUUUUAGGUAGGUAAUGUUAUACAAGCUAGAAAUUUGUUUCAUCUUCUAAGCUGCAAGUAGAUUAUGGCUUUUCAGAAUGUGCACAUUUUCUUUGUAAAUUAAUCUUCCGCUAUCUUUUGUUAGUAUCUUUCAAGUUCUAUCAGCUUCCAGCUAGAAGGCUAAUCAUAAAGCAUCAGAAUUGCACUGUUUUAAACCAACAAAGGAAAGGUACACAUCUGUAAUAACAGUGUAAUGACACCAAAUAUAUGCAUGUACGGUUUAGGAUUAUUUUCCUAGAUGCUUGUUCAUUGGCACAUAGACAAUUUCUUCAAUUCUUUAUCUUUGUAUUAUGUUUUACAACACCCGUCUGGCAUCAUUAGACAUCCACCCGCAAGCAUUUUAAAGACUUUUCCACACAGCCAUAAAAUUGCACCUUCCUCGUUGAAUAUAAAAUCAACUACACCUGUAAUAACAAAGCAGGGAAUACUAUGCAUCUCUUCCUGGAUGUUAACUGCAUUGCAGCAGAGCUGUGGUGGUUUGCCUUCGCAGCCUCAGUGAAAUUAAAGGUCGUGUCCUGAUGUUAUGUCUUCCUGUUUAAAAUGAAUAGCUUGUAAAUGUUUAUCUCAACUACAAGUGAGAACAUGGCCUACAUUUGUGCUCUCCAAUUCCCAUUUUGAGAAACCAUGCAGAAAAACAGCUGUGUAUCCUUUCAUGUCUUUUCUUUUGCUGUUAAACAUUUGCAUCUUUGACUUCGGUUCUUCGCUGGGUUUCUUCCUACUUGCUUUUGGAUUUUUUACUUGAAGCUUGUGUUAGUGUUCUCUAGAUUUAUAGCGGGUUACGUUGUUUUCUGCACAAAAGAACAAGAGAAAGAAAGAAAUCCAGCACAGAAGUACUGAGAAUUCAUGUACAGCGUCAUACAGUAUAUAGUUUCUUUGUGUUCUGCCAAUAUGUAUUUCAGUUUAAAAUGUCUUGAGGCUGGUUGGGACUACUUCUAUAGAGAGAGAACCAAAGUAUACAGUAUAUUGGCUGCCAUUUUGCUGUUUUUGGACAGUCAGGGCUGCUUUCCAUUUCCUAUAAUGUUCCAAUAGAGCUAAAUCACAUAUACACUGUAAUGGCAGCUUCUGAGACCCAGGGCUUCUGUAAAAUGUAAAAGAGCAAAGUAGUAUUUGUACAGUAUAAUAUUUUGAUUUGCUAAUGAGCUGUGAGGUGGGUGUUAUCAUGAACUACUGUGCAGCAAGAAAGGUUCCUAAAACAUGCAUCAGUUUACUCCAUCUCCAAAUCAUUGCAGAUAAUACAGUGUUUAGUUUCUAAUUAGACUUGUGUUGUGCUAAUUCUCGUGAGUAGUGCAAGUGAUUGACAUUCUAUGUUUUAGUGGCAAGCAUUAGAGCAGCUGACUUCAGCUCUGUGGUGAAGCUAGCAUACAGCUGCAGAGGAAAGCAAGCCACUCGCAGAGGCUGAUUUGCAAAACGAAUGCACAUUGAUUGAUAGGGCCUUGUUAUGAGGGGAAGGAGGAAGUAUAGCACGUAUUCUUGAAUUAGACUAAUGAUAUUCUAGUCCUUAAAGGAUUAAGAGAGAAAUGUUCAACCGAAAAAUAUCCUUUGCAUAACAUUUUACAAAUUAUUUAUUUACUUUGGACGGUCUUUUACACUAUUUCUUAGGACAGGAUGAACGUUCUUAUUCCAUGCCUCAGACUGCUGGAUUUGGAAUACAGAUGUUUUGUCCUUAGUCCUGUUUUCUGUACUUGUGAGUAAUAAAUGUAACCUUCAAGGCAAAACAUUGUGAACUAAUUUCUUGAUGGAACAUGCCAGAGCAACACAAGCAUGUUAUGUGGCUAAGAUUAUUUGAGUGAUUUUUGCUAGCUUGUUAUCUCUGUGGCCAUCUCAAGCAUGGAAAUAAAGAUAGCAAUAUAGAUUUCAUAUAAACAGGCUCAUUGAACUAGAUGUGCCUAUUGGAUGAAUUGGGUUAUUGUAAGGUACAUCUUCUAACUUGCAGGUCUCUAGUCAGGUUGUAAUCCUUUGUUAAAGUUCUAAAUGGUAAGUUUGGCUUUUCCAAAUGGUAAUGCUAUUUGCAUUCAGCAGAAAUAAAGACUGCCUGUGGCUUCUGAUUGUUGUUCCUGUAGCAUGUGAGUUUUUCACAGCCUUCCUCAUGUCAAGGACUUAAAGAGCUGUGUGAGACAGGACAGUACCAUUAGUCCACUUUACGGAUUGGAGACCGCUGGCUACAUUUUGGUCUGUUCCGUACAUUACGGUUUGCUCAGGAUGGUCAUGCUGUGGCAUGCUGCAAACCCCAUCUGCCCUCUCUGCAUGCAGCAUUGGAGCUCUUCCUGGAGCAAGCUCCUCUGUGAUUUAUUGGCACAAAGUUUUUGGUACGGUGUAACUGGAAGAACAGAUGGGAUGAAUGAUGGCGGACUUGGACAAGUUGCAUUUGGCAGAGAGCAGAUCGCUGGAGUCAGUCACUUUAUGGGUCAGAUUUUCAAUUUAAGUGUUGUUCCAUGUAGAUUUCCUCAUCCAGGAUCAAUGAAAGUGGUACAGUGCAACCGUUGGGUUUUGAAAGCUACUAGGUUUGUGCUAGAGGCUGUGUUUUUACAAGACAUGACACUAAGACAUUCACGUUUGUCUGUGUGCUUUGGCCUGCCAGUAGUAAUUUCUUGUAGGUUGUGUAAAUACAGGUCUCAUUUUGCUUUGUUGGUUGAUGUUGGGGUAAUUUAAGUUAGACUUGAAAGCUUUGACUAAAAUCUCAACUAAUAAAACUUAAUCACAAGGUAAGAAUGAUAAAAUCUGUCAUCAGCUUGAGAAAGGAAGGUGUAGGCUAACCCAAACCUCCCAUUAGCAUCUCUUCUAAUGCGGUCUCUUUUGUCUCUAUCAGAAAAUGCGCACACACACACACACAAAAAGGCUUAGAACUGUGUGAGAGCAUCAGUAAACUUGAAAGCAAUAUCAUGUGGCAUAACUGUUCACUUGACCCAGCUAUAGUCAAUAUGUUUUAACUCUACAAGAGACCUAUGCUGUAGUUGGUUUGAUAACAGCUAUACGAAGGAUUUUCUGAAACAUUCCUAUUUCUCCAAAUAACUGAAGAGAUGACCUGUAAAACAAGAAUUGCUGUUUGUGGAAAGCUCGCUUAAUUGCUGCAUAGGUUGCAGUUGAGAUUCAGUGCUAAAGCAUUUGCCCUACUUGCUCAGCAAAACAUCCAUGAAAUCUAUCCAGUCUAUUCUAGUAAUUGAGUCUAUUCUAGUAAUGACCAUGCCUUAAAAUAGGACAGUGAAGCACACUUUACCUGUAGAGAUAUAUGAUCCUCAUAAACAGAGCUUACUGUUAUUUUCUGAAGUAGGUUCUGCAUGGGUAUCCAACCUUUUGCCUUGCCUGGGCUGCAGAGUGAAGAGGAAUUUUAUGUAGGUACGUAGGAUUUAUUUAGGUUACUCCAAAAGUAAUGCCUCCUAUUUAUUUCCAUGGAAACAUCAACAGUUACAAAGAGCACAAUAACUGUGAUUGAGCAAGUUCUCAGCUACUACUUCUCAACAUAGUCACCAUGAUUAGCUGUGCAUUUUUGCCAGCAAUGAACAAGAGCUUGAACACUGCACUUGUGAAAUUCUAUACUAGUGGAGGUUAC
ensembl:lncRNA